UUGCCGUUAGCUGGCUAGCCGCGCGCACAAUUGAUCGAGCUGCUGACUUGCGAAGCUUUCUUACGUCACAGAAUGUGAUUCCUGAUACAACAUAUGUGCUGGUUAAUAUGUUAACCAUCGCUGUUGUUUCGAGAUUCUGUUGUUCCUUGUACGCGUGUUGACAUCAUCGCGUUGCUUAUCAACGGCUAUCAUGAAGUGGACAUUUGCCAUCGCACAUAUGUCAUCAUGUGCAUUGUUGUAAUUAUUAGCGGCCGCUGGGACGUCCCGGUGGUUUUGUAGAAAUUCUGCAGUUUUGUGCCGUCAAGAAUCCCAUAUCUGACACCCGACACGUCCACGGAAACUCGCCAAAUUUAGCGCAUUCAUCGACCCUGGGGGAAAAGUAUAUAUGUUAUGAUAAGAAAUGAAAUUAAAAUGGCCUUGUAGAGCCACCUAGAAUGGAAAAAUUAAAAACAUUCCCUGGCCGUUUGGCCUGGAUUUACGAAAGUUGGUAGCCACGUGUAGCACCCUGAGAUGUGCAAAAGAUCAAUUGCACCGGUAGUCUAAAAUGUACAGGAAGUGAGCUGAAAUUUUUUGAAUAUCGAAUUUUGGCCCAUCUUUGCACAUUUACAAAGAUCAUAAUUUUGCAACCUUGUCUUAGAGCAUAUGUCUCAAACUCAAGGCCUGGGGGCCCGAUACGGCCCGCCACAUCAUUUUUUGUGGCUGGUGAGACAAAUUUUGCAUCGACUUUGUAUCAUUACUAAAAUUACAAAUUGUCGUCACUUUUAAACAAGAAAAUAGAUAUUACUUGCUAUUUUUGUUACCAUUUGUUUUUAAAAAAACAUUUUUACUACUCUCUGAUUUCAAAACUAGUUAUUCAUCAGUUUGUUUUGUAGCCAGUCUACAUCCGUGCCGCGCACCCCUCGAUGCUCAUUUCUGCCAUGCCGCCUGCGAAGAAAACGAGGAAAGUUGACAUUGAGGGCCGUCGCUUUCAAGAGAGAUGGGAAUUACAAAACUUCUUCACUGAAAAUCAAGGCAAUUGGGUUUAUCUAAUUUGUAAAGAGAGACGGUUGCCUUGUUUAAGGUUUCAACCGAAAGAGACACUACCAGACUAAACAUGCUAACAUAUACGACAAGCUAACAUGGAGUGACCGCGCUGAUAAAGUGAAGCAGCUCCAAGCUGAACUGGCAUCACAACAGCGAUUUUUCACGCGGGGCUGAGUCAAAGUAAAUAUCACUAAAGCAAGCUACGAAGUGGCCAUGUUAAGACUGUUGAUGUUAUGAACCUGCAGAUGUGACACAAACAAUCACUUUCUGAAAGAUAUUACAAAAUUCACUUGUUUCAAUUUUUAAUAACAGACAACUUUGCAUUACUUAUAACUCCUGUUUAAAAUGUUCAUGAGGCAAAGAUAAUUUUAAAGUCAUGUAAAUUUAAGGUAUUUCGUCCAGUUUGUUCAAUGUUAUCUGACUCUUCAGAUAUGAAUGAAAGGCAGAAUUUGUGUUUUUAGAGUUCACAUCUGCCUUUUAUAACAGUGUGUAUUUGCCUGGAUUUUUUUAUAGUUAAAAAAUGUCCGAAAAGACUAUUGGCCCCCGGGCCCCUUCACUUGAUCAAAUCUGGCCCUCUCUGCAAAAAGUUUGGACACCCCUGCUCUACGUCAAAUUUUGUGAGUUUUUGGCAAAAGGCGUGUCUAUUAAAGUCUAAUGACACGCCGUGACAAUAAAAUCUGCUGUAAUUUGACCCAGGUGAUCCUAUAUUUUCUCAAAUUUGCACAUUUCAUCAUAGUCCACUCCUGAAGACAGCUACAAACGUAUUUUACAUCGUAGUGGUAGCACCACCGACUGGCUUCUUCUUAUCGUGGCUACAAGGCAGUUAGUUACAGGCUUGGCUAGAUGUGGUUCAGCCACACCUGAACACAUUUCUGUCCCUUCUCAUUAAACUCUGCUAAGUCCGGUGCUGUGCAGGGAUGUUCCAGCAGGGGGCAUAUGAGGAGGUGUUGCAUGGUCUGUGGUUCAGUGCCACAGUCUCACUCAGCGUUUCGAUCAUCCAGAUGUCCCCAUUUGGCGAGAGUGACUUUUGCACGUCCAACACCAGAUCUUAGUCUAUUUAGGCAUUUCCACGUUGCAUAGUUUGUGUCUGCUCCUGGGGGCAGUGCCUCACUUGCCUUAAGCUCCAUUGUAGUUUCUGGUGGAAGAUUGUCUAGUCUUUCUUCCCACAGAGUGACGCUUUCACUGCCUAUGCUCGGUGUUCCGAGGGGUGGGACACUUUUCAGAAAACUUUUCCUGGACUUAAGGCGGCUUUUGGCUGGUACAUGGCCGAAGAGAGGAUGUCUUUGGUCAGUGGACUGUUGCUGCUCUUCCUUGCUUGCUGCUUGUCUACGUAUCUCUGGUGGGGCUAUUCCUGCCAGGAUGUACAGGCGCUCUGUAGUCGUUGGUUUUAGACAGCCAGUGAUAAGACGGCAGGUAGCAUUUAGGGCGGGGUCCAGCUUCUUGACAUGGGCAGCUCGCUCCCAUACCAGGCAAGCAUACUCCGCAGCUGAGUAGCAGAGAGCAAGUGCAGUUGUCUUGAGAGUCUGUGGAUUAGCACCCCAUGUUGUGCCAGUGAGCUUGCGGACAAUGUUGUUCCUCACAGCUACUUUGCACUUAGUCUUCUCAAUGUGGGUCUUAAAGAAGAGGCAUCUAUCCAGGAUUACCCCAAGGUAGACUGGGUGCUCACAGUGAUCAACGGGGGUUCCUGACCAGCUGACCUUCAGUUGGCGCUUAGCUUCACGAUUUCGCAGAUGGAAGGCACACACCUCUGUCUUAGAUGGGUUUGCACGUAGGUGGUUUUCUUCAUAGUAGGGUGUUAGCUCUGUCAGAGCAUUGGAGAGUCUGUCUUCCACGAUUUUGAAAUCAGUGGCUUGUGCACCUAUCCCAAGAUCGUCUGCAUAGAUGAAGCGACGUGUGUCUGCACUUUUUGGUUGGUCGUUGGUGUAGAUGUUGAAGAGAAGUGGUGCAAGCACACUUCCCUGUGGGAGGCCAUUCUUGAGUCUUCGCCACCUGCUUUUCUUUCCUCCAAGUUCAACAAAAAAGCGGCUGUUUUCAAGCAUGCUUUCAAUCAGCUCUGUCAGACGGAUGUCUCUUGUGGUCUCCAGAAUCUUGCUGAGGAGACGUCUGUGGUUGACUGUAUCAUAGGCAGCUGAGAGGUCGACAAACACCACACCAGUUACCAUCCCUUCCUCAUAACCAUCUUCGAUGUACUGGGUGAGGUUGAGUACUUGGCUAGUUGUUGACUUGCCAGGGCGGAAACCUGCUUGUUCGGGAUGAGGUGUUCGUCAACAAAGGAGCCGAUUCUGUAGAGGAUUAGACGUUCGAAGAGCUUGUAGGUGUGACUCAGAAGUGAGAUUGGUCUAAAGUUCUUGGGUCUUUCCCAGGUUUCAGCAGUGCUAUAAUGUGGGCCUUCUUCCAGAUGUUGGGGAGCUUGUGUGUUGUCAGGCACUCAUUGUAGAGCUGUAUACAAUAUAAUACAAAAAAUACAAGCUACAAGCCACAAAGCUACAGAACAGAAAACAACAUCAUGCCUGGAGAUAGACACAAAGGUCGAUCUUGGAAACGAGGAACCUCCUCACGACCAGCAUUGACGGUCCUAUCUGUUAACAUCGAAGGGUUCUCCUCUGCAAAACGAACAAUCUUAGCCGAUCUAUGCAGCAGACAACACUGUGACGUGCUCUGCUUGCAAGAGACGCACAGAGAGAGUGAAAAUAAUCGCCCCACCAUACCAGGAAUGGUCCUGGCCAUUGAACGACCUCACAGGCAGUACGGCAGUGCCAUAUUUGUAAAAACAGGUUUAGCUAUAGAAGACACAUGUCAGAUGACCAUGAUAUCGAAGUCCUAUCUGUCGAGUUAAGCAGUGCUGUAGUAACAUCUGUCUAUAAACCACCACCUGUAGACUUCAUAUUCCCCCAGCCAAUCCCCAAAGUACACAACAAACCACAGAUCAUUAUUGGUGACUUCAACAGCCACAGUAUCCAGUGGGGCUACCCUGAAAUGAACAAGGAUGGAGAAGCAGUUGAGGAAUGGAUAGAGGCCAACCAACUAAGUCUUAUCCAUGACCCCAAGCUACCACACUCGUUUCUUAGUGCUCGCUGGAAAUGGGGCUAUAAUCCAGAUCUCACCAUGGUCACAAAUAACAUCGCUGGACUGUGUAAAAAGACUGUGCUGGACCCUAUUCCAUCAAGCCAACACGUCCCAUCGGGAUCCAAAUCAACGCGGCUGUAGUCCCAACCAUCGUUCCCUUCAAAAGGCGCUUCAACUACAAGAAAGCAGACUGGGAAGUAUUCACCAACGAGCUGGAAGAGAAGAUCAAGAAUAUAAUACCAGUUAGCACAAACUAUGACCAUUUUGCUAACCUGGUGCUGAAAACUGCUCGGAAACAUAUCCCCCGUGGCUGUAGAGUUGAAUAUAUACUGGCUACGAUAGGUAGGUAGGUAGGUUUUCUGCUUCAUAUUUGCUCAAAAGAGUGAUUUGGCCAUCAUAAUGCGAAAACACAACAUUUGUGAGUUUUCUUUAAAUAUUGUUUCCAUGGAAAUGCUGAGUUCCCCAAGAAGACAACUUAAGUUUGAAAGUUUCAGUAUGGCCGACAACUCAUAAAAGUUUGCAUACACAUCAGGUUUAUUGUGCAAUUAAAAAAAAAAUAGCUCAGUGGCAUCCUCUACAAAAAUUACCAAAAAAAUGACCUUUGUAAGUUUCACCUAUCUCUAUGAACAUGGAUCAAUGUAAAAGUAUUUUGGAGCCAUAUGUUAAAAACUACUUUUGUUAAAAAACUUUUCAUUUAUAGAUAAAGAAAUAAAAUAAUGAAAGAAAAGAGUGACACAACAAAAUGUCAUCAACAAUAGCCCAGUGCCCCCUAGUGACCGGAAGAAACCUCUAAAGUGCAUGCAUGAGCAGCUGUAGUUCCUGCAUUAAGAGCCAAAUCAAUUGCCUUUAACUUAAAAGCGGCAUCAUAUGCAUUUCUUUUGCCCCCCUUAAUGAGGGUUUGUGUAUAAAAGCUUGCUUCGUUCAGUAAUGUCCAUCUUGAUCUCGUUCUGUCUCUGCUUUGUGUCAAUCAUACGGCACUAUUUGCCUGGCGGAUGGACAUGCGAUCAACACACCACUCUUCUCCCCAGUGACCGUGUCACAUAUACCUCCGCCCAGCCAAGCGGCGCCGCACAACAGCGGUCCACAGCCUUUUUACAAGUGUAUACUAAGUGAUCAAGUCAUCACAAAAAUCAUGAAAAAUCCAUAGAUACGCCGCACCGGAUGAUAAGCCGCAGGGUUCGAAACUCGGUUUAUAGUCUGGAAAUUACGGUAAUCUAUGGCCUUCUUAUUCAUACUCUUUAAUAGCACAAUGUAAUGAAGCCGGGUAUUUUUAUUUGCAUAGAGCAGGGGUCGGGAACCUAUAGCUCGCGGACAAAUCUGACAUUUGUUUACACAAUUGAAGUCAUAAAUAAUUUUGUUAUGUUAUCAAAGUAAAAAAUAAAACUACUGAGAUCAAAAUGUUAAAUUAGCUUUCAAAAUAUAAAAUAUGAUCACGUUUGCAAUCCAUCCCAUCUGUUUUCUACCGCUGAAAUCCACGGUUGUCGUAUCAGCCAAUCCCAGCUGCCCUUCGGUGUAGGGCAGGUGUCGGUGACGCCAGGUCGGACAAAAAAAAAGCGUAAUUUUUAUUCGACAAUACGGUGCCUACGGGGUCGUGAGAGGUAAAAUUCCAUCAGCUUUAUUUAAAAUUUCAGCUAGCUAGCUGGUGUGUGCCAGGAAAGCAAGAAAGAUGGCGAAGAAAAAAAAAAGAUGACAAUUACCGAACAUUUCAGAGUGAGUGGACCGAAGAAUUCGCAUUUGUGGAGAGAGGAGGCUCUGCUACGUGCCUCAUAUGCAAUGACAAAAUUGCACCAAUGAAACGCUCCAAUAUCAAGUGCCACUUUGAGACACAACAUGCUACAUUUCCAACCAAAUACCCAGCUGGGGACAGCAGAAAGAAAGCGUGUGAAGAGCUCCAGAGGAAGGUCCAAGCUAGUCCGUGUAUGAACCCAGACAAGGUGACUUUAAUUCAGCUAGUUUUGCUGGCACAUUACCAAUUGUGAGGAACGGAAAGCCAUUCACGGAUGGCGAGUAUUUCAAAACAUUUAUGCUUGAUGUGGCUAAUGAACCUUUUGACGACUUGACGGAUAAAGAAAAGAUACUCAAACGGAUAAAAUACAUGCCUCUGUCAGCAAGAACCGUUCACGAUCGGGCCAUUAUGACUGAAGAGAGCCUCAAUGCCUGCACGAAGCUCAACCUCACCGCAUAUCAACCGGACUACAAACCCAUCAGCAAAGCGAUGCAGCCCCGGAAGUCUCAUUAAUGGUGAGCUUUUUUUUCUUUCUAGGCUUCAAUAUAAAAACGUUAUGAAAAAGAAUACAUUCGUACACUCAAAAAAAUCGUUGGUCUUAAUUAAAAUGCAUUUAAUUGCAUUUAGCCUAUCAUUUUUUUAAUUCAUUAAUGUAAUAAUUAAUACCGUAUUUUUCGGACUAAAAGUCGCUCCGGAGUAUAAGUCGCAUUUUGGGGGAAAUUUAUUCGACAAAAUCCAACACAAAGAAGCAACAACAGGCUAAACGAUAGGUAUGCUAACGUGACAUGAACAGAAACGAAGAGCUGAGAACGGGCCUGACGUAACAUUCAGAGUUAUUCAAAAAAGUAUUACCUAAAUAACAUGUUUAAAAAACCAUCUGUGUCACUCCAAUUCAUUAAAUCCAUCGAUCGUCCUUUAUGUCAAUGGUCCCCUACCACCGGGCCGCGGACCGGUACCGGUCCGUGGGUCACUUGGUACCGGGCCGCCAAGCCGCACAGAAUUUUUUUUUUAAAUCAACGAUCAAUUAAUUCAGGUCAAGACACUCGUCCCGGUCACGUGACAUGUUUCCCCAGUCAAGCCCGCAAAGCUAAUAUGUGGCGACAGGGUAACUAACCAGGCAAUGAAGCAUUCAAAACUGCUUCAACACAUGGAGACCAAGCAUCCUGCAAUAAAAGACAAACCUUAAUAACUUCGGGUGUCAUUGUCUCCGAUUACGUCUAGAUGGGACCGGCUCGUUUCUGAGAAACAAACUCAGUGCUCCCACUAAUUCAACGUAACGCGAGCUGGCUUCCCUGAUAUCAAUGGGCAGUGUGUUCCAUCGUUUGGGGGCGUAAUUAACAAAGGCUGCAUCACCGAUCUUCUUUCUGCUGUUGCCGGGAGCCUCCAAUAAACCAGCAGCAGAUGAUCGCAGGGUUCUUGGAGGUAUGUAGCUAACAAGAGAGUUAGCAAUGUCGCUUGGUCCCUGCCCGUUAAGGGCUUUGUAUAUAAGGAGAAGACUCUAAAAUAUAUUCUAAAUGUUACAGGAAGCUAGUGCAGAGCAGCUAGAACUGAUCUAAUGCGCUCUCUUCUUGGUCCUGGUUAAUCAAAGUCAAAGUCAGCUUUAUUGUCAAUCCCUUCAUAUGUGAAGACACACAAAGAAACCGAAACUCCGUUUCCUCUAUCCCACGGUGACGAGACAUAGUACACGAUAGACAUACAAGUAGACGACACAAAAUAAAAACAAGAAGGCACAAAUAAUAAAUAAAUAUGAGUGAUGAAUAAAUAAUAAACAAAUAACCCAAUAAAUAAGAGGAGCAAAACUGAGCCAGUGUGCAUACAGCAGACAGUAAGCAUAGCGCAAAGUACAGGACGCUACGCAGAAAGGGGGUGCAAGUUCAGGAUCCUAACAGCCUGGAGUAGGAAGCUGUUGGUGAGUCUGGUGGUGCGGGAGCGCAGGCUCCUGUACCUCUUCCCAGAGGGCAGAAGAUUGAAGAGUGAGCGGGGUGACUCACAUCACUCACAAUAGGCGACCUGCAGCAUUUUGGAUGAGCUGAAGUCUAUCAGUGUCUUUUUUUCAGGAGACCAGUAAAGAGUGCACUACAGUAGUCAAGCCGGCUUGAAAUAAAGGCAUGAAUCAGUUUCUCAGCAUCAUUUUGAUUUAUGAACGCUCUUACUUUUGCUAUAUUUCUAAGGUAGAAAAAUUAUGUUUUUCUCAUCUUGUUAAUGUGGGACCUGAAGCUUAGAUCUGAAUCUAAGAUAACACCAAGACUUGUAACCUCGGAUUUAAUCCAGGGAGUUAAUUUCCCCAAAUUAUUAAACAGCAUUUCUCUUUUUGUUUUAGGGCCGAUUAGCAAGAUUUCAGUUUUAUCCUCGUUUAACAGAUGCCUGUUUGAAGAGAUGUGUUUAUAAUGUUCAGGACAUGACUUGAGACUAGGGAUGCACCGAAAUAAAAAUUCUUGGCCGAAACCGAAAACCAAAAAUGAGGAAACCAAGGCCGAAAACCGAAAACCGAAACACCGAAAGAAAUGUCAGUUAUUAGAACCACAGCAUUUAUGGCUACAUGUGUACUAACCUCACUAAAAUCAAGGCAUUGCAAUAAACCAGUUACAAAAGUAUGAAAAUAUUUAUUUAGCACUGACAACAAUGCACAAUAUAAAUGAAAAUUCAAAAAUAAAAUAAAAUGUUUAACUUGACCCAACUCAUGUGUACAUUAAAUAAUAAUUUACAGGCUUAUAACUGACUGUAAAAUUAAAUAUGUUCUCUUAUAAAAACACAGAGAACUUUCUUGCCUUUUCAAAAACGUCCCCCACAGACGGAGUGGGCGUGCUCGGUGUCAGUUUCCUUUUCUGUGUCGCCUUCUUCUCAUAUUCAGAAUGGCGAUCGGGAUGUUUGGAUUUCAGGUGAUGAAUUAAACCCGACAUGGAUAAACUUUUUGCAGAUGCACCCCUUUCAGCAUUGCAUAUUUUGCAAAUCGCUAUCCGUGGGUCUUUCUCUGAGAUAGUGAAAUCAGUCCACACCGCAGACUUAUCCCAUUUUCCCGCGUGCUGGCUGCGCUGUUUGCUCACGUCAUCACAAGUUUCGGCCGUGUUGUUUCGGUGAUUUAGGUCUUUCGGCCAAAAACCGAAAAUGCACUUUUGGGUCAUUUUCGGCCGAAAAUUUUCGGUGGCCGAAUUUUCGGUGCAUCCCUACUUGAGACACUGUUGAAUACCCGCUUAAAGAAUGCUGUUGGUACUAGGUCAAUACAUGAAGUGGAGUAGUAACACUCAGUGACAGUCUUGCAAAGCUCAUUCAAUGUAAUACAGGUGAAUUUUCCCAUUGUUACACAAUUUUUAUAGGAUUUACUGAGAUCAUCUAUGUUUAUACCAGCAACAAUACUGGCUCUGAUUGAAGUUAUUUUACGAGUGAAGAAUAAUGCGAGUUCUUCACAUUUUGAUGCAGAGAACUGUGGGGGUGUGGGGGCAAUGUUGAGUAGUUGAUCAAUAGUGGAGAAUAAUAUUCUAGAGUUUCCAGUGUUCUCUGAAAUAAUCUUAGAAAAGUACAGUUUUUUUCCUUGUAAAAUGCGCAAAAUGUAACUAAUUUAUUGUCCUAAAAUCUGGGGUGCGCAUUAUACAUGGGUACAAAAAUGUUUUUUUUUUUUUUUAAUUUUUUUUUUUUUAAUUUUUUUUUUUUUAAGAAAGUCAUGGUCAUGGUACAACAAAACCAACAACAGGACUGACCGACAAAGACGUGGAACAAAAAGACAGGGUGACAUUACCAAAGACAGGAACAGAAACCAAACAGACAUCAUGACAUCAUCCAACGGUGAGCGAGGGGCAGACAGGACUUACACCGUGUUCCAAAUUAUUAUGCAAAUUGUAUUUAAGUGUCAUAAAGAUUACAUUUUUUGUUUUUCAAUUAAACUCAUGGACGGUAUUGUGUGUCAGGGCUCUUUGGAUCACUGAAAUCAAUCUCAGACACCUGUGAUAAUUAGUCUGCCAGGUGAGCCCAAUUAAGGAAAAACUACUUAAGAAUGGCGUUCCACAUUAUUAAGCAGAUGACCAUUUCCAAGCAACAUGGGAAAGAAAAAGGAUCUCUCUGCUGUCGAAAAGCGUGAAAUAGUUCAAUGCCUUGGACAAGGUAUGAAGACCUUAGAUAUUUCACGAAAACUUAAGCGUGAUCAUCGUACUGUAAAGAGAUUUGUGGCUGAUUCAGAGCACACACGGGUUCGUGCAGAUAAAGGCACAACGAGGAAGGUUUCUGCCAGACAAAAACAUCGGAUUAAGAGAGUAGCAAACAGAUAUUUGAAGCUGCUGGUGCCUCUGGAGUCCCACGGACAUCAAGGUGUAGGAUCCUCCAGAGUCUUGCAGUUAUGCGUAAACCCUCUAUUCGGCCACCCCUAAACAACGCUCACAAGCAGAAACGGCUGCAGUGGGCCCAGGAAUACAUGAAGACUAAUUUUCAAACAGUCUUGUUCACUGAUGAGUGCCGUGCAACCUUGGAUGGUCCAGAUGGAUGGAGUCGUGGAUGGUUGGUGGACGGCCACCAUGUCCCAACAAGGCUGCGACGUCAGCAAGGAGGUGGCGGAGUCAUGUUUUGGGCCGGAAUCAUGGGGAGAGAGCUGGUUGGCCCCUUUAGGGUCCCUGAAGGUGUGAAAAUGACAUCUGUAAAGUAUGUGGAGUUUCUGACUGACCACUUUCUUCCAUGGUACAAAAAGAAGAACCGUGCUUUCCGUAGCAAAAUCAUCUUCAUGCAUGACAAUGCACCAUCUCAUGCUGCAAGGAAUACCUCUGCAUCAUUGGCUGCUAUGGGCAUAAAAGGAGAGAAACUCAUGGUGUGGCCCCCAUCCUCCCCUGACCUCAACCCUAUUGAGAACCUUUGGAGCAUCCUCAAGCAAAAGAUCUGAGGGUGGGAGGCAGUUCACAUCCAAACAGCAGCUCUGGGAGGCUAUUCUGACAUCCUGCAAAGAAAUUCAAGCAGAAACUCUCCAAAAACUCACAAGGUCAAUGGAUGCAAGAAUUGUGAAGCUGCUAUCAAAUAAAGGGUCCUAUGUUAAAAUGUAA